GACGAACGCUGGCGGCGUGCCUAAUACAUGCAAGUAGAACGCUGAAGAGAGGAGCUUGCUCUUCUUGGAUGAGUUGCGAACGGGUGAGUAACGCGUAGGUAACCUGCCUUGUAGCGGGGGAUAACUAUUGGAAACGAUAGCUAAUACCGCAUAACAAUGGAUGACACAUGUCAUUUAUUUGAAAGGGGCAAUUGCUCCACUACAAGAUGGACCUGCGUUGUAUUAGCUAGUAGGUGAGGUAAUGGCUCACCUAGGCGACGAUACAUAGCCGACCUGAGAGGGUGAUCGGCCACGCUGGGACUGAGACACGGCCCAGACUCCUACGGGAGGCAGCAGUAGGGGAUCUUCGGCAAUGGGGGCAACCCUGACCGAGCAACGCCGCGUGAGUGAAGAAGGUUUUCGGAUCGUAAAGCUCUGUUGUAAGUCAAGAACGGGUGUGAGAGUGGAAAGUUCACACUGUGACGGUAGCUUACCAGAAAGGGACGGCUAACUACGUG
rnacentral:rRNA from 1 species